UGGGCAACCUGCCCUCAGCUCUGGGAUAACCCCGGGGAAACCGGGGCUAAUACCGGAUACUCCGGUCGAACCGCAUGGCUCGAUCGGGAAAGCUCCGACGGUCUGGGAUGGGCCUGCGGCCUAUCAGCUUGUUGGUGGGGUAACGGCCUACCAAGGCGAUGACGGGUAGCUGGUCUGAGAGGACGACCAGCCACACUGGAACUGAGACACGGCCCAGACUCCUACGGGAG
rnacentral:rRNA from 1 species